rnacentral:rRNA from 1 species
GGCUCAGGAUGAACGCUGGCGGCGUGCUUAACACAUGCAAGUCGAACGAUGAUCUCCAGCUUGCUGGGGGGAUUAGUGGCGAACGGGUGAGUAACACGUGAGUAACCUGCCCUUAACUCUGGGAUAAGCCUGGGAAACUGGGUCUAAUACCGGAUAUGACUCCUCAUCGCAUGGUGGGGGGUGGAAAGCUUUUUGUGGUUUUGGAUGGACUCGCGGCCUAUCAGCUUGUUGGUGAGGUAAUGGCUCACCAAGGCGACGACGGGUAGCCGGCCUGAGAGGGUGACCGGCCACACUGGGACUGAGACACGGCCCAGACUCCUACGGGAGGCAGCAGUGGGGAAUAUUGCACAAUGGGCGCAAGCCUGAUGCAGCGACGCCGCGUGAGGGAUGACGGCCUUCGGGUUGUAAACCUCUUUCAGUAGGGAAGAAGCGAAAGU